UACGUAGGGGGCAAGCGUUAUCCGGAUUUACUGGGUGUAAAGGGAGCGUAGACGGCGGUGCAAGCCAGAUGUGAAAGCCCGGGGCUCAACCCCGGGACUGCAUUUGGAACUGUGCUGCUAGAGUGUCGGAGAGGCAGGCGGAAUUCCUAGUGUAGCGGUGAAAUGCGUAGAUAUUAGGAGGAACACCAGUGGCGAAGGCGGCCUGCUGGACGAUGACUGACACUGAGGCACGAAAGCGUGGGUAUCGAACAGG
rnacentral:rRNA from 1 species